rnacentral:rRNA from 1 species
AGUCACGGCACACAGCUCAGUACACGUGCUAAUCUGCCUAGGAGAGAACAACCGGGAAUGGCGUAUCUCUCGAUAGGAAGAACUCUGGAACGAGUCUUUACUUAAAUAGUGCACGUUAUCCUCGUCGCAUCGCCUAAGGAUGAGUCCGCGACGAUCAGGUUGUUGGCGAGGUAAUGGCUCACCAAGCCUUUUUCCGUGCGCCGUGAGAGCGGGAGCCCGGAGAUGGGCACUGAGACAAGGGCCAGCCCUACGGGGCGCAGCAGUCGCGAAAACUUUGCAAUAAGCGAAAGCUUGACAGGGCUAUCCCGAGUGCCAUCCGCUGAGGAAGACUCUUUCCCAGUCUAGAACGCUGGGGGAAUAAGGAGAGGGCAAGUCUGGUGUCAGCCGUCGCGGUGAUACCAGCUCUCCGAGUGGUGUGGAUGUUUAUUGGGCCUAAAGCAUCAGUAGCUGGCUAGGUCAGUCCCUUGUUAAAUCCACCGAAUUAAUCGUUGGAUUGCGGGGGAUUGCUUGGCUAGGGGACGAGAGAGGCAGACGGUAUUUUCGGGGUAGGGGUGAAAUCCCAUAAUCCCGGGAAGACCACCAGUGGCGAAGGCUGUCUGGUAGAACGCGCCCGACGGUGAGGGAUGAAACCUGGGGGAGCGAUCCGGAUUAGAUACCCGGGUAGUCCCAGCUGUAAACGAUGCAGACUAGGUGUUUGGACGGCCACGUGCCGUUCUAGUGCCGCAGGGAAGCUGUUAAGUCUGCCGCCUGGGGAGUACGAUCGCAGGAUUGAAACUUAAAGGAAU